UGUUUUGCACAGAAUGCAGUGGACAAAGAGUCCUUAGUGACCCCAUUCUCAUAACAAAAAGUGCUAAACUUUUAACACUAACACAUGUCUUUGAAGGUAUAUCAAAAUUCUUUAAAAAGUGCUUCUAUUGUGGAAUGAUAUACCGAUAUCAAGAGUGGGCUGACAGUGUACACAAUUAUGACGACCACAUCAUUCUUAGUCUUCACUUCUGUCUGUACUUAAGGGCAUCUCUUCAGACUCACAACGCAGCAGGAAGAGUUUUUGAGCCCAUGGAACUGUCAUUAGAUGUGAAGCUACCUCCGCACAGCCGUAUAUUGCGAGGAUACAUGCAUUUUGAAGCUUUGACAGACCAUCAAUACACAUAUUUGUGUGUAAAAUGUGGCUCCAAUCCAGCCAUUGUUGUAAUGGAUCUGCAUAAGAAAGGAGUGU